UCAAGACCUCAUACUCAAAAUCUCUCAAAACCUCACGAAUGUUCUUCACCAAACAAAAAUCUCAGAAUCUCUAGUUUUCUCGUUCUGCUUCAUCGUCUCGCCGGGGAGGGGGGCUGGGGCUAAACAACUAAUUUAAUUUGGGAAUGUAAGUAUUCCGGACAAAGAUGUCUGCCCCAAGAAUUGCUAUAUGCGGUGGUUGUUGCACCUUUGAUGAUUAGUAAAUUUUUUUAUAAGAAUUAAUGAUUAGUAAUUUGAUUGAUGGAAUACUUGUUCUUGUUUUUUUUUUUCCGUAUUUUUAGUGAUCGAUUUUUUUCGUUCUUUCAUUUUUUUUAGUUGUUUCUUGCUCGCCGCUAGAAUUGAGAAUUCAACAGUUAUUCUAUUGUUCCUUUUUUUUAUUUUUAUGUUUCUUAUUGCUAGAAUUGAGAAUUUUGAUUCUUGAUGUUCGAUACAUAUUCGUCUCCUUAUACAACUCGCAAACUGUUGUAUCUUUCCAAUCUUGGGUAAUAUGACAGUGACAUGGGACAAGCUGUGUAUUUGCUUAUAUGUGUAACCUGGCCCCAAAUUGAGAAUUGCAGGCGAAACAGGAGAAAUUAUACGGGGCAAAAACAGAAAGGGAUUGCUAAUGGUGGCAAGAAUCGAGGAUCAAGCAAGUCAAAUUAAACUUGAAUUCUCUGUUAGGAUGGAGAAUUGAGGCCUUGACAUUUUAUUGGUGUGAUUCAUUUGAUAAAGAAGAUGAUGACACAUUCCAGAGUGGGCUCUUUUAAGAAGUGUGGCUGCAGUACAAACAUUGAAGAAGUUGUCUACACAUUUUUCAUGUUUUUAAUUCUCUGUAUAUUUUCUUUAGAUAGAUUAAGAGUUUUUGCACAUUGAAGAUGAUGACUUGUACAGUUUUUGUGAGUAUAAUAAUUUUGCUUGACGGAGAUAGAAUUUUUAUGCUCGAUCUAGACCUUCGAUGAUAGUAAGUAUGAUGAUAUUAUAUCUAUGUUAUCUAAGUAUUGCGUUUUAUAUUGCAUUGUAGUUGUUCUUUUUUCUUUUUAUUGUUUAUGAUUUUACACAUGAAUUCAAAGACUG
rnacentral:lncRNA from 1 species